UGGGGAAUCUUGGACAAUGGGGGCAACCCUGAUCCAGCCAUGCCGCGUGAGUGAUGAAGGCCUUAGGGUCGUAAAGCUCUUUCGCCUGUGAAGAUAAUGACGGUAGCAGGUAAAGAAACCCCGGCUAACUCCGUGCCAGCAGCCGCGGUAAUACGGAGGGGGCUAGCGUUGUUCGGAAUUACUGGGCGUAAAGGGCGUGUAGGCGGCCAAUUAAGUCAGAGGUGAAAUCCCGAGCUCAACUUGGGAACUGCCUUUGAUACUGGUUGGCUAGAGUUCGGGAGAGGGUAGUGGAAUUCCCAGUGUAGAGGUGAAAUUCGUAGAUAUUGGGAAGAACACCAGUGGCGAAGGCGGCUACCUGGACCGAUACUGACGCUGAGGCGCGAAAGCGUGGGGAGCAAACAGGAUUAGAUACCCUGGUAGUCCACACCGUAAACGAUGAAUGCCAGUCGUCGGGUAGCAUGCUAUUCGGUGACACACCUAACGGAUUAAGCAUUCCGCCUGGGGAGUACGGUCGC
rnacentral:rRNA from 1 species